GACGAACGCUGGCGGCGUGCUUAACACAUGCAAGUCGAGCGGUAAGGCCCUUUCGGGGGUACACGAGCGGCGAACGGGUGAGUAACACGUGGGUGACCUGCCCUCAGCUCUGGGAUAAGCCUGGGAAACCGGGUCUAAUACCGGAUAUGACUCCAUGACGCAUGUUGUGGGGUGAAAGCCUUGUGCGGCUGAGGAUGGGCCCGCGGCCUAUCAGCUUGUUGGUGGGGUGAUGGCCUACCAAGGCGACGACGGGUAGCCGGCCUGAGAGGGCGACCGGCCACACUGGGACUGAGACACGGCCCAGACUCUACGGGAGGCAGCAGUGGGGAAUCUUGCGCAAUGGGCGAAAGCCUGACGCAGCGACGCCGCGUGA
rnacentral:rRNA from 1 species